rnacentral:rRNA from 1 species
AUUGAGCGCUGGCGGCAUGCCUUACACAUGCAAGUCGAACGGCAGCACGGGUGCUUGCACCUGGUGGCGAGUGGCGAACGGGUGAGUAAUACAUCGGAACAUGUCCUGUAGUGGGGAAUAGCCCGGCGAAAGCCGGAUUAAUACCGCAUACGAUCUACGGAUGAAAGCGGGGGACCUUCGGGCCUCGCGCUAUAGGGUUGGCCGAUGGCUGAUUAGCUAGUUGGUGGGGUAAAGGCCUACCAAGGCGACGAUCAGUAGCUGGUCUGAGAGGACGACCAGCCACACUGGGACUGAGACACGGCCCAGACUCCUACGGGAGGCAGCAGUGGGGAAUUUUGGACAAUGGGCGAAAGCCUGAUCCAGCAAUGCCGCGUGUGUGAAGAAGGCCUUCGGGUUGUAAAGCACUUUUGUCCGGAAAGAAAUCCUUGGCCCUAAUACGGUCGGGGGAUGACGGUACCGGAAGAAUAAGCACCGGCUAACUACGUG